rnacentral:tRNA from 1 species
GUGGUGGCUCAGUGGUAGAGCACUUGCCUAGCAUGUCAGAGGCACUUGGGUUCAAUUCUCAGUACCACA